rnacentral:rRNA from 1 species
UACGUAGGGUGCAAGCGUUAAUCGGAAUUACUGGGCGUAAAGUGUGCGCAGGCGGCGUCGCAAGUCGAGUGUGAAAGCCCCGAGCUUAACUUGGGAAUUGCGCUCGAAACUACGAUGCUGGAGUGUGGCAGAGGAAGGUGGAAUUCCACGUGUAGCGGUGAAAUGCGUAGAGAUGUGGAGGAACACCGAUGGCGAAGGCAGCCUUCUGGGCCAACACUGACGCUCAUGCACGAAAGCGUGGGGAGCAAACAGG